rnacentral:lncRNA from 1 species
GCUUGUGCAGGUUGUCCUCUAGUUACUCGCUCGCGCUUUGCCACCUCUUCUCGCUCUCUUUUGCAAACAGGAUAGCCACCAUAUAUGCUAGUCGCUUGCUGCAGCUCCACAUAUUUUCCUUGCCUUACCUAUAAGCUUAAAUAGUCUUGAUCGCGAGGGUGCGAGAUUGCUGAGUCCCUGUGGCUCACAGAUUACUUCCAAACCAGAUGCAGGGCCUGAUGAUUCCGUUCUAGAUGACGCGCUUGAGCUCAAGUGGGAGUUCGACGAGGACUCACGCUGAUACUACGUGUCUUUCCCUAACGAUCAGUAGUGGUGCCCAGUUGGGGUGACCGGGACCGUGUCGCAUGUUGGGUUACCUUUUAUUUUGGCGCCGUAGUCGGGCCAUGAGUGUUUGAACGUUGUAAUGCUAUUUAUGUACUUUGUGUGACGUCGCGAGUGUAAGCCAACUAUGUAUCUCCCCUUUUAUUAUCUAUAUUACCUGGGAUGUUGUGAAGAUUGCCUAACUUGCGACAUUGCUUUCAAUGCGGUUAUGUCUCUAAGUCGUGCCUCGACACGUGGGAGCUAUAGCCGCAUCGAGGGUGUUACAACUAUUCCUUCCAUUGUAGAAUAAAUCAUAUCCUUUGAUAAAAUAGUAGACAUUGCGCUAUAGCGACUUUGAAAACUCAAUAAUAAUGGUUAUUAAUAACCAUAAAAAUCCAGCCAUGUUGGCUAUUCAAGAUAAUAUAAUCCGGUGAAAACCUUAUUCAUUCAAUAUCAUAAUGAAAAUUCAGCCAAACUUGGCUAUUUGAAUAAUAUAACCCAAUGAUUUAUAAGCGCAUGAUUCCAAUGGCGCAAUCCAAAUAUAUAUAUAUACUGGCGACUUAUAGUCCAAAGCCAGGCCGGUUUAACAAACCUGUUUCUUCAUACAACAAGUUUAAAGUGUCCUGGCGGUUUCCGCCGGACGGGUCAUAAUGCCCAACAUAUAACCCGGGUUUAUAACCAAGGCUGCACUUAAGAAUAAUCAAAUAUGAAAUAUAUCAUACCUGUGACAUUGAAUCACAUUGUUGGUUUUACCAACUUUUUGUAGUAAGGGUGAUAAUCCAAAUCUUGAGUACUGAUAACUCCUUCCAUAUUAUGCCGGUUUAGGAUAAAACCGUACCGGGUUGUGAUAAACACCGGUUUACUCCAUAAUAGGAUGGUAACAGAAAAUAAAACUGGGCAGAUAGUCUCCGGAUUAAGAUUUGACUGCGUUCCGCCAAUUUGUAAUUUGACAGUCGAACCGGUUUAAGAAUUGUCGGUUUAAAAACGCAACAAAAGAAAUAUUUAGCAAAACAAAAUUUCAAGCAAAGGCAAUGAUAAAACCAUUUGCAAAAAGAGGCUAUUGAGCCGAUCAAGAGGCAUUACCAUGGUCGGACACGACCAAGCCCCCAAAAAGGCGUAGCUAUGGUUCGAGUCAGCCAGGUCCCCAAAUGAUGCUUUGGCAUUACGCCGAUCAAGAGGUGUAGCUAUGGUUCGGGUUCGACCAAGCCCCCAAGUGAUGUUGUGGCACUAGGCCGAUCAAGAGGCGUGACUAUGGUUCAGACGUGACCACAAGUCCCCAAGUGAUGCUUUGGCAUUACGCCGAUCAAGAGGCGUGGCAAUGGUUCGGGUUCGACCAAGCCCCCAAGUGAUUCUGUGGCCUUAGGCCGAUCAAGAGGCGUGACUGGUUCAGACUUGACCAUGUCCCCAAGUGAUCUGGUGGCUUUCGCCUAUCAAAAGGUGUUGCAUUGGUUUGGAUACGACCAAGCUCCCAAGUGAUAUUGUGGCAUUGCGCCGAUCAAGAGGUGUGACUAUGGUUCGGAUACGACCAAAGCCCCCAAGUGAUCAAUAAUAUGAUAAGCCAAUAAGGCAUGAUACCCAUGUUUGAACCGUGCAUCAUGGCAGCAGGUCCUCUUUGGCACCCUUUAACUUUUUGCAAGAGAUAAAUCCUUCUUGAACCGGAUGUUAAACCGGAUAUUGAGAGCUUCAAAGCUUCGUGGAAGACAUCUUUCCCUUGAACCGGAUUAUAAACCAGAAUACUUUUUGAUGACCCGGAAAUUUUCUGACGGCCUCUUAAACUCGAACUUGUGAGAAGUUAAUUCCUUUUCGAACCGGAAAUUCUUAAACCGGAUUUGAGAGCUUCGAGCUUUGUGAUUUAAUCUGUCCUACAUUGAAGAACUUGCAAGACAAAGUAAUGGCUCCUCUUUUUUAAAAGAAAGCAAUAUAUAAUAUAAAAAUAUACCGGAUGGAUUUCACCUGAUGCGUCAGGUCAAAGAUUAUCACCGCGGAGUUGAUGAUCACUGGGUGAAGCUGAAAUUACUCACAGGUGAGUCGGCCGCGGGAGCUAAGCAGAUGAGCCGGCCCGGUGUUGUAAAUCGGCGCGGAUGAGCAAAUUGUCCUCCACGUUGUAGACCGGCGCGGACGCGUGAACCGGCCGCGAGGGUGGACGGGCGAGUUGUCCGUGUCGUUGUGAACCGGUGCGGCCGCGAGAUACGGCCACGGCGUUGUAAACCGGCGCGGGAGUUCGUCAAGUAACGACGACCACCCGUGCCAAAAGAUGUUGGCGUGCCUCCAUCUCCGUGGUAUAAUAUCACUUUUUGUCAUAAAUAAUUGCUCUGCAUAAACAAUAUUACAGACCAAGGCAAAGAUAAACUUGUUUUUUGACAAAAACAACAAAAACAAACUUGGAUGGAUAUCACCUGAUUCAUUUGGACGUAGGGAUUGAAGUAAAAAGGGCCUCCACAUCCACCAAGCGUCCAAGCUGUUUUCUUCCGGGACUUUUGAGAUAGCAGCGGUACGGCACAGCUGUAGGUCCAGCGACCAUAAAACAUGCAUCUUUGUAUGACGUGUGAGAGUUGACUUGGCCAGGGCGGCAGAGAUCCGGCUCAACUCCAAACCGCCCGAGACGGCAGGUCGAUAGCGCUGACCUGCAGGGUCGACAAGGUGGCUGCCCUUUGCUGCAGCAGUUGUAGAUGGCGGUGACCCGCCAGCAGCGGCAUAGGCAGGCAGCCGACUUGACGCCGCCCGGCGGGGCCGGCUCAAGGCGAUUCAGAGUCGGGGCUAAACCCGAUAUACUGGUUGAAGUUAUGACCCGGCGGGGUGGAACCGCACGGGACGACGCUGGUCAGGGCCGCGAGCGUUGAAAUAGAAGCAAUUUGGCUUGACAGGGUCAACUCCAGGCGGCGGCAUCUUCCAGGCGAGGCCGGAAAAUCGGAGAGGCGGCAACUCCGUGACUUGAGGCUGCUGCGGUUCGGCGUUAUCAAAUCCGGGUCGUCGUUGUAUCCGCAUCUGGGUCGUUGUAUAUAUUUUUUUUUCUCUGGGGUCGCAAUAGCCGCGAACACAGGAAAACAAUAGCAGCAUCCUUCGGAUAGCAGAUCGACGCAUCAAGCCUAGUUGGAAAUCAUCUCUGGAUUCUUUAAAAGCCAGGUGCAGUUUUUGGAAACCGGAAACGGACCUGAGCAACCACUUGGAAAGCUUUAUAUGAGGUCAAUUGUUAGCACUGCAGUACUACUUGCAACAACGUAACAGAUCGUCUCAGGUCCCUUCCCGCAAUUAGUAGGCAACAGUGAUCUAUCAAAUCUCCUGGUGAAUUGUUGCAUCGCUGUCGCCUCAAGACCUUAACCAGCAAAAGGUACAUGGCAGCAUAAUUGGACAGGUCGGCUGCUUUCCGACUUGCGGUGCACAAAAACAGAUCGGUCUUCGGAUCCGGCGAGUCGCCGAGCCACGCACGGGGCAGCGCACACAAAACCCUAAAAUCUUUCUUUUUUGACUAAUCUCAUAUCUGUUAGCUCCAAAGCUAAUCAUGUUCCUGAUCAAAAAAACACUAACUUGCCAGAUCUUCCUCAUCCGACAAAAUCUCAAGCUCGUCGAUCCCUAGAUGAGAUCCCUUCAAGAACUCAACACCACCGUGCGCAGGCCCCACGGUGGGCGCCAACUGUCGUGGAAUUGUCACGGCAGAUGUCCUUAGUGUCAGGACUUAGUCACGAGGCCAAUGCAUCUAUGUGGUAGCUUGAGAGGGGUUGAAUGGGACGAGAGACGCGAUGUUUUAUCCAGGUUCGGCCCCUCACGGUGGAGGUAAAAGCCUACAUCCUGCUUCAUUGAUAUUGAUGAUGAUGAUCACGGUUACAAGAGUGCUCUAUCUCGAGAGCUAUUGUCUAAACCUAACUUGUCCAACUUGUGGAACUUGUGAAUCUUGUCCCCUUUUGGGGAGCCCUGUCCCUCCUUAUAUAUGUUGGAGGGGCGGGUUACAUGUAGAUUCCUAUUAGGAUUAGGACUAGUCUAUCUCUAAUACAAACCGGAUACAAGUCCAGGUCUUAACUCCUUGUAAGAUAAAUGUUCAUCAUGCCUUUCCUCUUAAACCGGCCCACCAUUAUCAUAAACCGGCAUGUUGGGCCUUGGGCCUUGUCAUCCAUCUGGAACACGCGUCGGGUCACCAAUGAGUCUUCAGGCUCGUGAAUCGUCAUACCAGUGAACCGCCAGACACGUAAACCGCCAAUCACGUAAACCGCCAUUCACGUAAACCGCCAAUCCUCUGGCGGUUUACCAAUGAAACGCCUAGUUCGGCCGGGUUAUACUUCCGGCUAGUUUACGCCGCGGGGUAUAUCCCCGACACGUAGGGUCCGCACGCUUAAGGUUUCGAUGACAGUUAUAUUAUGAGUUUAUGAGUUUAUGAGUUUUGAUGUACUUAAGGAGUUCGGAGUCCCGGAUGAGAUCGGGUACAUGACUAGGAGUCUCGAAAUGGUCGAGACGUAAAGAUCGAUAUAUUGGACGACUAUAUUCGGACAUCGGAAAGGUUCUGAGUGAUUCGGGUAUUUUUUGGAGUACCGGAGAGUUACGGGAAUUCGCCGGGGAGUAUAUGGGCCUUAUUGGGCCAUACGGGAAUAGAGGAGAGAGGCCAAAAGGAAGGAGGCGCGCGCCCCCCCUCUGGUCCAAAUUGGACAAGGGGUGCAGCCCACUUUUCCUUGUUCCUCUCCUCCUCUUUCCUUCUCUCCUACUCCAACAAGGGAAGGAGAAGUCCUACUCCCAGUGGGAGUAGGACUCCCCCCUUGGCGCGCCCUCCUCCUAGGCCGGCCGCCUCCCUCCCUUGCUCCUUUAUAUACGGGGGCAGGGGGCACCCCAUAGACACAACAGUUGAUCAUUGAUCUCUUAGCCGUGUGCGGUGCCCCCCUCCACCAUAGUCCUCGAUAAUAUUGUAGUGGUGCUUAGGCGAAGCCCUACGACAGUAGAACAUCAAGAUCGUCACCACGCCGUCGUGCUGACGGAACUCUUCCCCGACAUUCUGCUGGAUCGGAGUCCGGGGAUCGUCAUCUAGCUGAACGUGUGUUAGAACUCGGAGGUGCCGUAGUUUCGGUGCUUGAUCGGUCGGGUCGUGAAGACGUACGACUACAUCAACCGCGUUGUGCUAAUGCUUCCACUUUCGGUCUACGAGGGUACGUGGACAACACUCUCCCCUCUCGUUGCUAUGCAUCACCAUGAUCUUGCGUGUGCGUAGGAAAUUUUUUGAAAUUACUACGUUACCCAACAGUGGCAUCCGAGCCUAGGUUUUAUGCGUUGAUGUUGUGCACGAGUAGAACACAAGUGAGUUAUGGGCGAUAUAAGUCAUACUGCUUACCAGCAUGUCAUACUUUGGUUCGGCGGUAUUGUUGGAUGAAGUGGCCCGGACCGACAUUACGCGUACGCUUACGCGAGACUGGUUCUACCGACGUGCUUUGCACACAGGUGGCUGGCGGGUUUCAGUUUCUCCAACUUUAGUUGAACCGAGUGUGGCUACGCCCGGUCCUUGCGAAGGUUAAAACAUCACCAACUUGACAAACUAUCGUUGUGGUUUUGAUGCGUAGGUAAGAACGGUUCUUGCUAAGCCCGUAGCAGCCACGUAAAACUUGCAACAACAAAGUAGAGGACAUCUAACUUGUUUUUGCAGGGCAUGCUGUGAUGUGAUAUGGUCAAGACAUGAUGCUAAAUUUUAUUGUAUGAGAUGAUCAUGUUUUGUAACCAAGUUAUCGGCAACUGGCAGGAGCCAUAUGGUUGUCGCUUUAUUGUAUGCAAUGCAAUUGCGCUGUAAUGCUUUACUUUAUCACUAAGCGGUAGCGAUAGUCGUGGAAGCAUAAGAUUGGUGAGAUGACAAUGAUGCUACAAUGGAGAUCAAGGUGUCGGGCCGGUGACGAUGGUGAUCAUGACGGUGCUUCGGAGAUGGAGAUCACAAGCACAAGAUGAUGAUGGCCAUAUCAUAUCACUUAUAUUGAUUGCAUGUGAUGUUUAUGUUUUAUGCAUCUUAUCUUGCUUUGAUUGACGGUAGCAUUAUAAGAUGAUCUCUUACUAAAUUUCAAGAUAAAAGUGUUCUCCCUGAGUAUGCACCAUUGCCAAAGUUCGUCGUGCCCAGACACCAUGUGAUGAUCGGGUGUGAUAAGCUCUACGUCCAUCUACAAUGGGUGCAAGCCAGUUUUGCACACGCAGAAUACUCAGGUUAAACUUGACGAGCCUAGCAUAUGCAGAUAUGGCCUCGGAACACUGAGACCGAAAGGUCGAGCAUGAAUCAUAUAGUAGAUAUGAUCAACAUAGUGAUGUUCACCAUUGAAAACUACUCCAUUUCACGUGAUGAUCGGUUAUGGUUUAGUUGAUUUGGAUCACGUGAUCACUUAGAAGAUUAGAGGGAUGUCUUUCUAAGUGGGAGUUCUUAAGUAAUAUGAUUAAUUGAACUUUAAUUUAUCAUGAACUUAGUCCUGAUAGUAUUUGCAUAUCUAUGUUGUAGAUCAAUAGCUCGCGUUAUUGCUUCCCUAUGUUUUAUAUGUGUUCCUAGUGAAAACUAGGUUGAAAGAUGAUAGUAGCAAUGAUGCGGACUGGGUCCGUGAUCUGAGGUUUAUCCUCAUUGCUGCAUAGAAGAAUUAUGUCUUUGAUGCACCACUAGGUGACUGACCUCUUGCAGGAGCAGAUGCAGACGUUAUGAACGUUUGGCUAGUUCAAUAUGAUGACUACUUGAUAGUUUAGUGCACCAUGCUUAACAGCUUAGAAUCGGGAUUUCAAAGAAGUUUUGAACGUCAUGGACCAUAUGAGAUGUUCCAGGAGUUGAAGUUAAUAUUUCAAGUAAAUACCCGAGUUGAGAGAUAUGAAGUCUCCAACAAGUUCUAUAGCUAAAAGAUGGAGGAGAAUAGCUCAAGCAGUGAGCAUGUGCUCAGAUUGUCUGGGUACUACAAUCGCUUGAAUCAAGUGGGAGUUAAUCUUCCGGAUAAAAUAGUGAUUGACAGAAUUCUCUAGUCACCAUCACCAAGUUAGUAGAACUUCGUGAUGAACUAUAAUAUGCAAGGGAUAACGGAAACGAUUCCCAAGCUCUUCAUGAUGCUGAAAUCGACGAAGGUAGAAAUCAAGAAAAGCAUCAAGUGUUGAUGGUAAACAAAAUCACUAGUUUCAAGUAAAGGGACAAAGGGAAGGGGAACUUCAAGAAGAACAGCAAGCAAGUUGCUGCUCAAGUGAAAAAACCCAAGUCUGGACCUAAGCCUGAAACUGAGUGCUUCUACUGCAAAGGGACUGGUCACUGGAAGCGGAACUACCCCAAGUAAUUGGCGGAUAAGAAGGAUGGCAAAGUGAACAAAGGUAUAUUUGAUAUAUAGAUUAUUGAUGUGUAUAUUACUAGCGUUCAUAGCAACCCCUCGGUAUUUGAUACUGGUUCAGUUGCUAAGAGUAGUAACUCGAAACGGGAGUUGCAGAAUGAACAGAGACUAGUUAAGGGUGAAGUGACGAUGUGUGUUGGAAGUAGUUCCAAGAUUGAUAUGAUCAUCAUCGCACACUCCCUAUACUUUCAGGAUUAGUGUUGAACCUAAAUAAGUGUUAUUUGGUGUUUGCGUUGAGCAUGAAUAUGAUUUGAUCAUGUUUAUUGCAAUACGGUUAUUCAUGUAAGUUAGAGAAUAAUUGUUGUUCUGUUUACAUGAAUAAAACCUUCUAUGGUCAUACACCCAAUGAAAAUGGUUUGUUGGAUCUCGAUCGUGGUGAUACACAUUUUUAUAAUAUUGAAGCCAAAAGAUGCAAAGUUAAUAAUGAUAGUGCAACUUAUUUGUGGCACUCCCGGUUAGGUUAUAUUGGUGUAAAGCGCAUGAAGAAAAUCCAUGCUGAUGGGCUUUUGGAAUCACUUGAUUAUGAAUCAGUUGAUACUUGCGAACCAUGCCUCAUGGGCAAGAUGACUAAGACUCCGUUCUCCGGAACAAUGGAGCGAGCAACAGAUUUGUUGGAAAUCAUACAUACUGAUGUAUGUGGUCCGAUGAAUAUUGAGGCUCGCGGUAGGUAUCAUUAUUUUCUGAUCUUCACAGAUGAUUUGAGCAUAUAUGAGUAUAUCUACUUGAUGAAACAUAAGUCUGAAACAUUUGAAAAGUUCAAAGAAUUUCAGAGUGAAGUGGAGAAUCAUCGUAACAAAAAUAAAAGUAUCUACGAUAUGAUCGCAGAAGUAAAAUAUUUGAGUUACGAGUUUGGCCUUCAGUUAAAACAAUGUGAAAUAGUUUCACUACUCACGCCACCUGGAACACCAUUACAAUGUAAUGGUGUGUCCGAACAUCGUAACCGUACUUUAUUAGAUAUGGUGCGAUCUAUGAUGUCUCUUAUCGAUUUACCACUAUCGUUUUGGGGUUAUGCAUUAGAGACAGCUACAUUCACAUUAAAUAGGGCACCAUCUAAAUCUGUUGAGACGACACCGUAUGAACUAUGGUUUGGCAAGAAACCUAAGCUGUCGUUUCUUAAAGUUUGAGGUUGCAAUGCUUAUGUGAAAAAGUUUCAACCUGAUAAGCUCAAACCCAAAUCGGAGUAGUGCAUCUUCAUAGGAUACCCAAUAGAAAAUGUUGGGUACACCUUCUAUCACAGAUCCGAAGGCAAGAUAUUCAUUGAUGAGAAUGGAUCCUUUCUAGAGAAGGAGUUUCUCUCGAAAGAAGUGAGUGGGAGGAAAGUAGAACUUGAUGAGGUAACUGUACCUGCUCCCUUAUUGGAAAGUAGUUCAUCACAGAAAUCUGUUCCUGUGACUACUACACCAAUUAGUGAGGAAGCUAAUGAUGAUGAUCAUGUAACUUCAGAUCAAGUUACUACCGAACCUUGUAGGUAAACCAUAGUGAGAUCCGCACCAGAGUGGUACGGUAAUCCUGUUCUGGAGGUCAUGUUACUUGACCAUGACGAGCCUAUGAACUAUGAGUAAGCGAUGAUGAGCCCAGAUUCCGUGAAAUGGCUUGAGGCCAUAAAAUCUGAGAUGGGAUCCAUGUAUGAGAACAAAGUGUGGACUUUGGUUGACUUGCCCGAUAAUCAGCAAGCCAUAAAAAAUAAAUGGAUCUUCAAGAGGAAGACAGACGGUGAUAGUAGUGUUACUAUCUACAAAGCUAGAAUUGUCGUAAAAGGUUUUCGACAAGUUCAAGGUGUUGACUACGAUGAGAGUUUCUCACUCGUAUCUAUGCUUAAGUCUGUCCGAAUCAUGUUAGCAAUUGCCGCAUUUUAUGAAUGGAAAAUGGAUAAACAAAACUGCAUUCCUUAAUGGAUUUAUUAAAGAAGAGUUGUAUAUGAUGCAACCAGAAGGUUUUGUCAAUCCUAAAGGUGCUAACAAAAUAUGCAAGCUCCAGCGAUCCAUCUAUGGACUGGUGCAAGUAUCUCAGAAUUGGAAUAUACGCUUUCAUAAGUUGAUCAAAGCAUAUAGUUUUAUAUAGACUUGCGGUGAAGCAUGUAUUUACAAGAAAGUGAGUGGGAGCACUAUAGCAUUUCUGAUAAGUAUACGUGAAUGACAUAUUGUUGAUCGGAGAUAAUAUAGAAUUAUUCUGCAAAGCAUAAAGGAAUGUUUGAAAGGAGUUUUUCAAAGAAAGACCUCGGUGAAGCUGCUUACAUAUUGAGCAUCAAGAUCUAUAGAGAUAGAUCAAGACGCUUGAUAAGUUUUUCAAUGAGUACAUACCUUGACAAGAUUUUGAAGUAGUUCAAAAUGGAACAGUCAAAGAAGGAGUUCUUGCCUGUGUUACAAGGUGUGAAGUUGAGUAAGACUCAAAACCCGACCACGGCAGAAGAUAGAGAGAGAAUGAAAGUCAUUCCCUAUGCCUCAGCCAUAGGUUCUAUAAAGUAUGCCAUGUUGUGUACCAGACCUAUUGUAUCCCCUGCCCUGAGUUUGGCAAGGGAGUACAAUAGUGAUCUAGGAGUAGAUCACUAGACAUUGGUCAAAAUUAUCCUUAGUGGAAUAAGGAUAUGUUUCUCGAUUAUGGAGGUGACAAAAGGUUCGUCGUAAAGGGUUACGUCGAUGCAAGUUUUGACACUGAUCCAGAUGACUCAAAGUCUCAUUCUGGAUACAUAUUGAAAGUGGGAGCAAUUUGUUAUAAUAGCUUAGUGCAGAGCAUUGUUGACAUAGAAAUUUGCAAAAUACUUACGGAUCUGAAUGUGGCAGACCCGUUGACUUAACUUCUCUCACAAGCAAAACAUGAUCACACCCUAGUACUCUUUGGGCGUUAAUCACAUAGCGAUGAGAACUAGCUAGAUUAUUGAAUCUAGUAAACCCUUUGGGUGUUGGUCACAUGACGAUGUGAACUAUGGGUGUUAAUCACAUGGUGAUGUGAACUAUUGAUGUUAAAUCACAUGGCGAUGUGAACUAGAUUAUUGACUCUAGUGCAAGUGGGAGACUGAAGGAAAUAUGCCCUAGAGGCAAUAAUAAAGUUAUUAUUUAUUUCCUUAGUUCAUGAUAAAUUUUAUUAUUCAUGCUAGAAUUGUAUUAACCGGAAACAUAAUACAUGUGUGAAUACAUAGACAAACAUAGUGUCACUAGUAUGCCUCUACUUGACUAGCUCGUUGAUCGAAGAUGGUUAUGUUUCCUAGCCAUAGACAUGAGUUGUCAUUUUAUUAACGGGAUCACAUCAUUAGGAGAAUGAUGUGAUUGACUUGACUCAUUCCAUUAGCUUAGCACUUGAUCGUUUAGUUUGUUGCUGUUGCUUUCUUCAUAACUUAUACCUGUUCCUAUGACUAUGAGAUUAUGUAACUCCUGUUUACUGGAGGAACAACGUAACUGGGUGAUUAUAAAGGUGCUCUACAGGUGUCUCCGAAGGUACUUGUUGGGUUGGCGUAUUUCGAGAUUAGGAUUUGUCACUCCGAUUAUCGGAGAGGUAUCUCUGGGCCCUCUUGGUAAUGCACAUCACUUAAGCCUUGCAAGCAUUGCAACUAAUAAGUUAGUUGCGGGAUGAUGUAUUACGGAACGAGUAAAGAGACUUGCCGGUAACGAGAUUGAACUAGGUAUUGAGAUACCGACGAUCGAAUCUCGGGCAAGUAACAUACUGAUGACAAAGGGAACAACGUAUGUUGUUAUGCGGUCUGACCGAUAAAGAUCUUCGUAGAAUAUGUGGGAGCCAAUAUGAGCAUCCAGGUUCCACUGUUGGUUAUUGACCGGAGACGUGUCUCAGUCAUGUAUACAUAGUUCUCGAACCCGUAGGGUCCGCACGCUUAAGGUUUCGAUAACAGUUAUAUUAUGAGUUUACGAGUUUUGAUGUACCUAAGGAGUUCGGAGUCCCGGAUGAGAUCGGGGACAUGACUAGGAGUCUCGAAAUGGUCGAGACGUAAAGAUCGAUAUAUUGGACGACUAUAUUCGGACAUCGGAAAGGUUCCGAGUGAUUCAGGUAUUUUUCGGAGUACCGGAGAGUUGCGGGAAUUCGCCGGGGAGUAUAUGGGCCUUAUUGGGCUAUAUGGGAAUAGAGGAGAGAGGCCAAAAGGAAGGAGGCGCCCCCCCCCCUCUGGUCCAAAUUCGAAGGGGUGCAACCCACUUUUCCUUGUUCCUCUCCCCCUCUUUCCUUCUCUCCUACUCCAACAAGGGAAGGAGGAGUCCUACUCCCGGUGGGAGUAGGACUCCCCCCUUGGCGCGCCCUCCUACUAGGCCGGCCGCCUCCCUCCCUUGCUCCUUUAUAUACGGGGGCAGGGGGCACCCCAUAGACACAACAGUUGAUCAUUGAUCUGUUAGCCGUGUGCGGUGCCCGCCUCCACCAUAGUCCUCGAUAAUAUUGUAGUGGUGCUUAGGCGAAGCCCUGCGAUAGUAGAACAUCAAGAUCGUCACCACGCCGUCGUGCUGACGGAACUCUUCCCCGACAUUCUGCUGGAUCGAAGUUCGGGGAUCGUCAUCGAGCUGAACGUGUGCUAGAACUCGGAGGUGCCGUAGUUUCGGUGCUUGAUCGGUCGGGCCGUGAAGACGUACGACUACAUCAAUCGCGUUGUGCUAACGCUUCCGCUUUCGGUCUACGAGGGUACGUGGACAACACUCUCCCCUCUCGUUGCUAUGCAUCAUCAUGAUCUUGCGUGUGCGUAGGAAAUUUUUUGAAAUUACUACGUUACCCAACAAAGGUGUGGCACUAUUCCUGCAAUAUGACCAUCCCACUUAGUGCGAUAAAUCAGAAUAGACAACAUGUCUGCAAUAGUGCUAAAUAACAUUAAAGACAUGGAGUCACCCUAACUAAUCCUUUUUUUGUUUGAAAGUAAUGGCCCAUAUCAUCAUUGACUUUUACAGCCACACUACCUCGAGUAACAAAACUUUGGAUCCAUUGACGCCAUUUAUGUGAGAAUCCUUUCGUUCUUAAGGGUUGGUAAAGAAACGACCAUUUGACAUUUUCAUGAGCCUUUUCAAAGUCAAUCUUAAAAACUACUCCACUCAUGUUUUUUAUGCAUCUCAGGAACAGUCUCAUGUAGGAUUGCUAUUCCAUCGAGUAUAUUUCUUUUUUGCAUGAAAGUCGUUUGAGAUGGUCGUACGACAUGGUCAGCCGUCGUGUUGAGCCUAUUAGUAGCCACUUUGGGAAAAAUCUUGAAGCUGACAUUAAGAAGACAUAUUGGUCUAAUUGCUGGAUCCGCUCAGCCUCUUUAAUUUUGGGCGACUCACCAAAGGUCAGCUUGGAUAGGUCGAGUUGGCCGGCAUGAAAACAAUGUAAUGACAUUCCAGAAAUUCUGAUAGAAUUCUGCGAGAAAGCCAUCAGGGCCUGAAGCUUUGUUAUGUUUCAUGUGGAACACCGCAGCUCUCAUCUUAUUUUCAGAGAAAGCUGCUGUGAGGAUGUCAUUCUCUUCUGCCGUGACUCGUGAAAUAUCAUCAGUCCGGGUUUCAUCAAGGGUGAAAUUCCUUUCAUACAGCGCCCUGGACAGAGAUUUGUGGUAUUUGGUGAUAGAGCUUUUGAGAACUUCCUGACCUUCGAUCCGCCUCUUAUCUUGUUGGAGACUAAAAAUACAUUCUUCCUAUGCCGAGCAUUGGUGAACAAUUGGAAGUAUCGUGUAUUACUAUCUCCCUUCAAGAUAAAAUCAGCUUUGGAUCUUUGAUAAUAUUUGGUUUAUUGUUCUCGCAAAAGAUGUGCAGUAUAGAGUUAAACAACAUAACACAUGUCGUGGUUUUAGUUCAAAACAACACGGAACAGAAGUAGGAGUUAACACAUUACAGGCUACAGCUCAAAAAGCAAAUAGUUUUUUUUUUUGGGUACGCCAAAGGUUUACCAUAGCCUUAUAGAAGAUAAACUAUAAGAGAUUACACGGUAGGUAGAUAGACCUCACACGGCGCAUCCACCCUACCCUCCACAAGAGCAAAUAGUUCAAAAGCUAGAUAAGGAUCAGGUGGACUUUUUUCCCGACAAAUGAUGGAUUUUAUUAUCUCAACAUGAAGCAUCAAGUGGAUGCAAACACAAUGAACACAUAUGCGAUGGAACUAUGCAUAGCUAGGAUACACACAAUCACCAUCAACACACGCACAAAUAAACACAGACCAAAGGUAAAAAAAACUCGAAGCGGUGAAAACAGUGAUCAACAAGCAAUAGUUUGAAACCCAUGGAUCAGAUGGACUUGCGACCAGAUAUUUCAUAUUCCCUGCAGAUAUGCGCUUGCAUGACAUAGGCUCAAUUCGGGUUCGUCGAAUGAAGUUGAAUCUGAGCCAGAAAAUGCAUGGCCGAACGGAUCGAGAGACUAUUUGUGUACCAGCUCAGCUGUUUUCUGGCGAUGAACAACUGAACAGAUAGCUACACAAGUCUUAAGAUAGUCCAAAUAGCAUGAGCAUCCAUGCACCAGAUGUUGCACUCUCGUGUGUGUCAGUGUGUGUCAUCUUCUCCUGAACCAUCCCGACACACGCCGACGUGUCCCUUUGGCGCCUGCGUAUGCAUCUAUAAUUGGUGCGAGCUCGCCAGAUCAAGAAGUAUACAGAGUCUCUCCGCAGAAAGAAAAAGUAUACAGAGCCAACACUAGGUAGCUUCCGGCGGCGGCGGCGCGGCAUGGCGGGGCAGGGACAGCGGCUGAACGUGGUGCCGACGGUGACGGUGAUGGGCAUGAUCAAGGCGCGGCUGGCGGCGGCCACCCGCGGCCACGCGCUGCUCAAGAAGAAGUCGGACGCGCUCACCGUGCAGUUCCGAGCCAUCCUCAAGCGCAUCGUGGCCGCCAAGGAGGCCGUGGGCGACUCCAUGCGCGGCGCCUCCCUCUCCCUCGCCGAGGCGCUCUACGUCGCCGGCGGGCCCCUCCGGCACGUCAUCCAGCAGUCCGUCGCCGGCCCCGCCCGCCUCCGCGUGCGCGCCCGCCACGACAACAUCGCCGGCGUCCGCCUCCCCCGCUUUGAGCACUUCACGGACGGCGCCGGCGCCAGGGCGCCGUUGCUCGCCGGGCUCGCCGGCGGCGGGGAGCAGGUGUCGGCCUGCCGUGCGGCGCACGCCCGCGCCGUCGAGCUGCUGGUGGAGCUGGCGUCGCUGCAGACGUCGUUCCUGACGCUGGACGAGGCGAUCAAGACGACCAACCGGCGCGUGAACGCGCUGGAGCACGUGGUGAAGCCGCAGCUGGAGAACACCGUUACGUACAUCAGGGGCGAGCUUGACGAGCAGGAGAGGGAGGAGUUCUUCCGUCUUAAGAAGAUCCAGGCCGUCAAGCAGCGCGAGCUGGAGCGCCAGAUGGAGUCCGCGAAGCUCUACGCCGGGGAGAAGGUCGCCGGCGAGGUCGCACUCAAGCGCGGCGUCUCCCUCGGCACCGCCGCCACCAUGCUGGACAGUGGCGACGGCCAGAGGGACGAAGACAUCAUUUUUUGACACACCUGAUCCGGAAGCUAGCUACUGUGACGUAUCACGUAGUAUAUGAGUACUAGGAGUAUUUUGCAUGCAAAAAGUCCGGUAAAAAUAUAUUGAGUUCUUUCAUUUGAAAUUUGCAUAAUAUACUCCUUGUCUCAUAAUAUAAGACUGUUUUGCAAGCUGAUUAGGGAGUAGAAGUUCCGCGGUUCAUGUAGCAACAUUUAUGUAGUCCUGCAUAUAUAUAUUGAAAAAGUUGUGGCUACACCCAGACACACUGCACACAAUCACCUACAACAUUUGUCAUAAUCAAAGUCACAAAGUUUCAGAAAUUAUGACUCGGUGUAUAACAACUACACUGAUAUUGCGUGACUAAAAUGAAAGGACACCAAUCCGAACGUUCACUGGAAAGCAUGGCAUUUACGAAAGGCCUCAUGGCAGUUUUGUGUGUGUGCGGAGAGGUUGGGUUGGCAUUUUUUAAAACUGCGAUGGCAGUUUUUUUUUAAUUGUGGAGGUUUUUUGGCGUAAAAACGCCACCGUCAGAUGCAGAUCUAACGGAUCCGGGGGCGUUCGUCAUGAUCUGGUUCCCCGCGUUCGCCAGAUAGCAUUUCCCAAACGGAAGGAGAGAAUCAUCAAUCUGAUCUUUCACGCCAUUUGCAUGGAUAUAACAUGGGAUCUUCAUGGCCACAAACCGAAACUACAUGCUAUGGACAUAUAAAUACAACACUUUGCGACUACAAUGCUGAUAUAAGAAUAUGAUACAGUGCCAUUGGCGUACUCACGGAAAAAAACUAGUGAGAUCCACGAAUAACUUUCCAAUAGCCUUUUUAUAUUUUUAUUUCUCCUGCCAGCAGAUGAAAGUGCAGGGGGUUGAUUGGGUUACUGAAAGUUUGUCGAGAUGUUAGAGGAAACUGAUAUGAGUAUAGCAGAGAUUUUGAGACACACUUGUUUCUCUUGUUGCCAACAAGCAAGGAACUGGUCCAUGAGUGAUCGCGGAAUGUUAUUAUUUCUCUAUCCGUGGAAUCAAAGCGGGUGAGCGUCGGAGCAUCAUUAUGUUUGUGUUUUGCUGUUCCCAUGCUCAUUAGAGCAAAAGAAUGCAACUCAAAGCAUAAAUAUACAGAGCAUAGGAGGACAGCUCCACAUUUCGAGCUAAUCUGGGCAGAGAUGGAUUUGGUACUCUAGAAAUGCCGCGUGUUUCAAAAUUUAGUCCGCACUAGUUGGGUUACCACAAAGAAACAUUUGUACUGAUUUUGAUCUCUGGACUUACCAUUUACAGAAGCAUCACUUCUUUGCGACCCUUCGUAACCUCAUUUGGUUGCCUCAAAUAAAAUCAUCCAUGACCUCAGAGUAAAACUGCAUGUUAUGGGCGUAUAAAUACAACACUUUUGUGAAUAGUCGUGAGAUCCAUGAAUAAGUUUCAUGUGGUGGCCUGCGUGUGAGAUUUAUGCUUUUUUAUCUUUUUAUUUCUCUGGCCUUUAGCUUGCUUUUUAUGAAGUAAUGCUCCAUCUGCAAACCAAAGCAUUGGUACUGAUGUUAGCCGAACUGAGAUAAACACCAGUGGCGCAACAGGAGGCCUUCUUUUGCGGUCACGAGGAAGAAUCAAAGUGAUUGGGGUUUAGUAUGCCAUCGGUGUGAACGAAAACAGAGCACAAUUAUGAUUAGGAUGCAGCUGCUCGAUGUUUUCACAGCGUUGCUCCAUGUCGCAAAUAAUUCAAGCAAGGAUGGUGUUUUGGAGUUGGCUUUUCUACCUUAUUUCUGAUUGUAGAUGCUAAGGACGUGCAUAAACCCGGGCAAACGUCGGGCCGGGCCGGGUCUUUGGCCAAGCUUGUAAAAGCCCGACCUUCAUUUCUCAAGCCUGAGCCCAGCCCAAAGCCCAAAUUACUCCCUGUAUUCAAGCACAAGCCCAGCCCAAAAACAAGCCCGAAGCCCAAAAGCCCAGGCCAAAUGCUGUUUUCAGUGCAAGCCCGGCCCAAAAUACAAAAAAAUUAAAGCCCAAGCCCAGACCAAACUAUCUUCCAGGCUGCAAAACAAAGCCCAAGCCCGGCCCAGGUUUUCAGGCCAGGCUCAGGCCAGGCUGUCCAUGCCCAGGUUGAGACGUGCAUAGGUGAGAUCUUCAACCUACCGUGUGCCUUUGCUCCAACAUCAUGUAGAAGAAGCACCAUUGGAUAAGCUUUGUGGUGAACUAAUCAAUAAAGUUCUUGUUUGUGGUGAACUAAUCAGUAACGUCUAGCCAGUUUUUUUUUUUGGAUUAUGUACUUUUCUCACUUUAGAGCUAACAAGCUAAAUCAUUGUAACUGUCACUCGAAUACAUAUCGACUAAUCCUUGCUAAGAGCUCUUUUCCUUUAGAAGGACCUAAUAAGUGGCAUACGUGUGGCACUUAUCAUUUGGGGGUAAAAUAAAGUUAAGAGCUAUUUCCAUCAAACAAGAAAAGUAUGAUCAACUAGAAACGUGCUGGUGCAGGAACUAACAGCGCAAACAAAUGCAAUGUGUAGUAACUCGCUAAGAAUCCAUGAACAGACAUUGAAAUACUUUGUACACAUCAGCCAAACUGACCCACGGCGGCUGACAUAAGGAUCACAGUUGACAGAAAAGAAGCAUUGGUAGUCCACCGAAAGAUGCCCCAGCUCCCAAGGGAUCAGGAAACUAAACAGUAGCUGACUGAACUCUUAGCCCUGAUGAUGUUUGUGACAGGAAGUGCUGAUAAAUACAUACUCUGGCAUUCAGCCCUUCAAGGAGUACUUCUUUCCCGUGAAUGCUGAAAACUUCGGCUCCUCUUUCUUCGGAUCCUCCUUUGCAUCCUUGUC